AUUUUUGCUACCCGCGGCAACCCUACAGGAAACUAACAUUUUAUGUUGUGGAUACUGAUGAAUCUGGAAAUUUUCUGAAUAUUCAACCCAAGACACUCCUAUUUAUAUGUAAAAGGAGGAUAGACUUAAAUUAUUGUCUUCCCAUUUUAGUCGUUCUUACACUCUCUUCAUAAAAUUACAUGUCUGCAGCGUGCUUUAUUUAUUUCGUGCAGCAAGAAAGCCACCUUUUCGCGUAUCCAAAAGUAAACUGUGUGCAUAAUUAGCAACGAGGAAUAAUUAGCUCAAAAAAACUUUAAUUUGUUUUCGUCCACUGGGUUUUACACAAAACUGGAAUAUGACUCACGCAGCCAUCAAAUCGGGUAGUGUUAAAAAUGGCAGUAUUUGUUCCAACGGGUUCCAACCACCAAACUGGGAUUGGACCGGAAAUCAUGAAGAUCGAGUAUUGAAUCUCCUCGAAACAGGGUUCCAGCAUGAUUUGAUUCUCCACCUCCGCCCAGAAGGGUUAAAAAUUCCCGUCCACAAAAUAUUUCUUCAGGCCGGCUCUCCCGUCCUGAAUGACAAGAUUACUUACGGCGACCUUGGGCGAACUAAUCAUUGAAAAUGUGGACAGUCACGUUUUCAGGUUGCUGCUCAAGUUUUUAUACACCGGAAAGUCUGAGGUACAAAUGGGCGAUGCACUGCAACUAAUGAAAUUAGCGACGGAUUAUCAAGUAAACGGUUUAAGAGACGCUUGUGCCGCCGUCCUGAAGGACGACUUGACCUUGGAAAAUGUACUUUCUUUAUUUCAAAGUGGAAUGGAAUGCGCUCACAGCGAAUUUAUCCAGUCAACUCUCAAAUUCAUUUGCAAAAAUGCACGAAAGGUUUUGCCAUCCAGCGAAUUUUCCACGCUACGACUGUUUGAUCGAAAUUAUUCAACAGGAUUCUCUCAUUGUGAAGGACGAGCUGGAAGUCUUUGAAGCCGUGUACCGCUGGGGCCUAGCCGAAUGCACCAGACAAUCUCUGGAUCCCGGAAACUGCGAACAUCUCCGGAAAUGUCUAUCCAAACCGCUGAAUUACAUCCGAUUUCCGUUAAUGGAUCCUACCCAAUUUGUAUUAACGGUUAAGCCAAAGAAUCUUCUCGAAAUGGGUGACACCCUCGACCUAAUGACAUUUUUCCUAUCUCCGCCAGGUGACAGAAUCUCAGUGGUUCGGGAGUCCUACUCACUAGAAACGUUACAGGAGGCAACAGACAAACGAUUUAUCAUGGACCUUCCUCGGAAACUAUCAUGAUUCGUACCAACGAGAAAGUAUUGCUCAAGUCUAUUUCUAUCCCCAAAGCGAUUUUUGCCCAGUGUGGGUCAAUUGAUUAUUAUUGCUACCAUUUGAUCAAAGUUGAUAUCACCGCCACUGUUCAAGACGAACCUGCAUCCAUACUUAAUCAUGCCAGAAAUGAGGACGUGGAUUUUAUACGUAUUUUUCUCAACCCUCCGUACCAAAUUGAUGCGGAGGUCAAACUUACCGUCUCACUUUCCCGUCAGAUCAAGUACCAAGUUCGAGCCAAUCAGUUCCAAUCAAGAUAUAGUUCGAAUGAAAUGCAUACGCGCCACGUGGACGGAUAUGUUAAAAUAGUUUCAAAUUAUGGAGACUUUGUCGAUACACCAUGCACGACAGAAUUUGGUGUUGAAAUAGAAAUUAAACGAAGGGACGAGGAUAAUCUCCCUUUGAAUUAUGGUUUUCUUGAGAAGCUGGAGUUUGAAGUUGUUUAAUAAUAUCAGUAGUUUUCCUAUGGAGAGGGAAUCAGGCGUACUUUUAUAAAAUAUUAAAUACUUCAAUUUAAAACGUUUCAUGAAAAAAACAGAGUGGUUUAAAUGUCAGGUUACAAUGUAAAUUUUUGUUGGUAAUUUUUUUCGGUAAUUGGUAAAACUAAUUUCGCUCAAAAGAUUUG